rnacentral:rRNA from 1 species
AUACAGAGGGUGCGAGCGUUAAUCGGAAUUACUGGGCGUAAAGCGCGCGUAGGCGGCUUGGUCAGUCGGAUGUGAAAGCCCCGGGCUCAACCUGGGAAUGGCAUUCGAUACUGCCAGGCUAGAGUAUGGGAGAGGGAAGUGGAAUUUCCGGUGUAGCGGUGAAAUGCGUAGAUAUCGGAAGAAACACCAGUGGCGAAGGCGACUUCCUGGCCCAAUACUGACGCUGAGGUGCGAAAGCGUGGGGAGCGAACAGGAUUAGAUACCCUAGUAGUCC